rnacentral:rRNA from 1 species
ACAUGCCUACAACAUAGCAUUAAUGCACCAGAUCCCAUUAGAACUUUGCAGUUAAGCGCACUCAGGCUAGAGUAGUACUAAGAUGGGUGAUCGCCUGGGAAGUCCUAGUGUUUUACAUGCC